GUCCACGCUGUAAACGAUGGGCACUAGGUGUCGCGGGUAUUGACCCCUGCGGUGCCGCAGCUAACGCAUUAAGUGCCCCGCCUGGGGACUACGGCCGCAAGGUUAAAACUCAAAGGAAUUGACGGGGCCCGCACAAGCGGUGGAGCAUGUGGUUCAAUUCGACGCAACGCGAAGAACCUUACCCGGGCUAGACAACAGAGGACAUCCUUAGAAAUAAGGUCUUCCCUUCGGGGGACCUCUGGUUCAGGUGCUGCAUGGCUGUCGU
rnacentral:rRNA from 1 species